CCCGCCCACACGCACCAUCCAGAUCCAGAACCCGGUCUGGAGCGGCAGAGCGGGUGGGGCCCGGUUCCUCCUGCACCGCUGCGCUGUGCGCUCACUGUUCUCCGUGUGCGUGAGCACCGCCCACCCACUUGUGAACCCACUGGGCCUAGUCGCUCCAUUCCCCACCCCUCGGCCUGGUGCUGAAUCAUGAGCCCAGCAUCUCUAAAAGGCUGUGUGUAGAACAUGGUGAUACAGCUGUCAGUGAUUUUACCCUAUGAGUUCUUCACCCAAGUCACAACCUCCUGCAGGCUGGGCUUCACAGAGUCCCCAUUCACUCAAGUGUUAACUGAAGACUGACCAGUCAGGAGUGGCAACAAAGGUACUGACAGUUCAGAAUGAUGAUCUACACAAAAGUGACAAAAACUGCAGGCACCAAAAUUCAGAAAACAUUUAUUUCAGGAGUACAUUAAGUACAUCUGCUACAACACACAAUGUGUUGAAUUAUGAAGAUUCGUAUUAGUCACAACCACAUCCAUUUAUGAUCAAGCAUUGUUAUGGUUUGAAAACUGGUGGUCAACUUAAAGCCAGCUGGAUUACAUCAGCAUGCAUUGAGAGAAGAUGCUCCACCUGAGGAGGGUUGCCAGGAUAAACAGGUGGAGAAGAGAGGUGUUGGGAGGGAUUGAGGUGUUAAGGAGGCAUUAUGGGUUCUCCUACAAGUUGCUGUCUGAGCUGUUGGUUCUCUGCUUUGGUCUUCACAUCGAGCAUUGCUUCCUGGCUCCGGAGGGGAAGACAUGUGCUGCCUGGUCUCCAGGAUGAACUCACCACGCUGCUUCCUGGCAUGUACCAGACUGUGCUUGUCCUCGGAGGAGUUUGGGGCCUCCGUGUCACUGAGGACAGCUGUGGUGCCUUUCAGGACAGCCCCGCUCUUUGUUGUGAGUGUGACUUCUUGGCUCCAGUGUAGAACCCUCAUCCCACUAGCACAGCUCCUUCAUCCUGCUGGCACAGACUUUCUGGCUUCUACCACUGACCCUUGGGUCUUCCCGGCAUGAUCCGUAAAAGAGACUGGCGUGAGUCCUUCUUGUGGGCUCUGGACUUCCAGUUGGACUCAUGGAGGUGUUGUCCUGAGCUCUGGGUUUUUAAUCUGGACUCAUGUGGGACAUUGCCAUGGGGUUUAGACUCUUGACUAAAUAAUCUAUGUCGUUGGUGUUACGGAUAGAUUUCCUGCAUUCUCCGGUGUUAACUUCCGGUGACCAUUAUAAAAAUAUUAUAAACUCCAUGUCCUGAUCUGAAUUGUUCUGUGUACAACCCCUGACUACAACAAGCAUGCAUGUUGUUUGUGCAUGUGUCAGUACUCUGAAUGGUCACUUGGCAGUUUCAAGCGCAUUUGUUUACAUGGGUGUUUACUUCUCAUCAAAGGGCACUCACUUGGGUAUUUACAAUUACUUAGUUAUAGUUUAUAUUAUCAUUUAAGUAUUAAUGCAAUAUUAUUAUUAUUUUUGCUGUUUUGGGACAGUUUCAUGAUGCAGUUAAGACCGGCCUUGAACUCAUUUUGAAGCCCAGGCUGGUCUCAAACUCAAAAUGAUGCACCUGCCUCAGCCUCCUAAAUGUGUACCACCAUGCCCAGGAACGCAUUAAUUUGAUAUUUGCAUCAUGUGUUACAACAGGGGUUUAUUUUUGGAGGAGGGCUUAUAUUAUACACAUCUUGAAAAAUCAGGUGAGGUCUUACUUUCCAGGGAGGUUUUAUUUUGCGGAAUCAGGGUAGCUGUUCUGGUUACUUCAGCACUGUGAACACUGUAACCCAAGCUUACAUUAUAGUUUUAAAGGAGACCAUGUUCAACAGAACGGCAUUCCCCAACACUAACAGAACCCUGGAAGACAAAUUAUCUCAUCCCUCUACCUAUGAACUGAAUUCACAGAGCAAAACGUAGCAUGGUCUACUUCACUCUGUAUUCCUUUACUCUAAUUCUCAGCUCCCAUUCCAACUAAAAGGCCCUUUCAUUUAAAAAAAUAAGUAUAAUGGAUUCCUGUAAUGGAUUCUGCUGUUACGGAUUCUAGAAGGAAGUGGAGAUGGAGAAGGAAGAGGAGGAACAGGGAGGGGGAGGAAAAGAAAAGGAUAUAAUUCAAUAUCUAUUCAAAAUUGAAAGUUGAUCUUUUUAAAAAACACCUUCCCUCUGUAAUUAAUAAGUAGUCAUCAAGGGCUGGGGAUUUAGCUCAGCGGCAUAAAUGCCUGCCUUGCAAGCAGGCGGUCUUGAGUUCGAUCCCCAGUACCGAUAAAAAGAAAAAAGAAAAAAAAUAAGUAGUCAUCAGAAAAAUACUCCAAGACUGUGUAUUACACAAAAGCUUCAGUAAAUACCUCUGAUACGUUGGCUUUUGGGGGGUUUUUUGGUACUGUUGGCCAAAUUUUCAACUAAUGAUUUUAGCAUCCACUGGUAUCCUUGCCUGAAGCAAUUUCACAGUAUUUAUUUCAAAUGGGAAUUUUUAAGUAAUCUUACAAUUUCUUUUAUAUUUUAUAAUUUAUAGCUCCCAUUUACUUUUUAACCUUUAUCGAGUAUCAAUGUGAGUUAAUGAAAUCGUAAAAACAAUUUUUGACUGUAUUAUUCAUUACUGUCCUUUUUCUUUUUAAUGCUCAUAUUCCUUAAACUAACCAAAUAAGAGCCCCUUUGAGUCAGCUCCUAUGUACCCCUUACAUAUGCCUAAUUUGCCUUCAAGCAUCUCCUUGUUUUCUGGCACCAGGAAACAUUUCAAGUUUUCCUAAUAUUUUCCCUACCUCAGAACUAGAAUUAUCAUUCCUCUGAGAUACCUAGCUCCUUAUCAUGAAAAAGGGUAUUUAGAAAUCAAGAUCUGAAUGCUAGUGUAUGCUUACUGGUAGCUGAAGUCUCUUUCUGGACAUUGCUACGUACUGCUCUGUUAUCCACAUUAUUAGAACACAUUUAUUUUUUUUAAAUCACACAUCUAAUAAACUGAGAAAAUAGUUUCAACAAUUUGAAAAUGCAAAUAUACAGUGUUAUUUAUUGCAUAAUUUUUAAAAUGUAAAAUACUGUAGACAAGCUAAAGUCUAAGCAGAAGAGUGGUUAAAAAUACUAUAAUAAACCUGCAGUGGGAUAUUACAUAGCUAUAAGACAAGAAUACAGAUCUUUAUGAAGUGAUAAAGGAAUUUCUGGUCUGUAGAUGGAAGAAAACCAAAAGCCUAAUAAUACACCUUUCCCAUACAAAACGAAAAGGUAUAGAAAAAGUUUCUUUGCAUCUGUGCAAAAUAAAUACAGCAAGGAUAAACUAGAAGCCAAUGAGGUUGGUUACCUAGGAGAGAGGAACAGGCUGAAACAAUGGGGGAACGGGAACAGGAUAGCAGGGUACCAGACACUUUUCUAGAUAUAACUUGCUGGUAUAACUUUAGCUCUUAAGAUUAUGUGACUAUUUCACAUUCUCCAAAAUAAAUAAACAACUAAUAUUAACCAGGCCAUAGAGAGAAAUAAAAGAACUGCAUACAGUCUUUUAAAAAGUGAAUCCAACUGUAUUACAGGUAAAUAAUAUUUAAGUACAUUGAAGGAUAUAGAAAUAAAAAACCUGAGGAAUUUAGAAAAUAAUACUUUUACUGUAUGCUACAAGAAUAAGGACAAAAGAACUUUACGCAAGUAUUGUACUCUUAAGAUUUUUUGGUCCCAGCAUAUAUAGGUUAGAGGUUAUGAAAUUACUUUACGUAUGGUUAGGAUUGAACAAAUGUAUGUUACAUAAUGAGCACUGACAUUCUCACGGUUGGGGAUAAAGUUGCAACAAGGAAAGGAAGAGAAGGAGGAUAGAAUUUACUGUGACACUGAAUUGAAAUAAGUAAUUAGUUUAAUACUAGAGAAAGAAGGGAAACAGACAUUGGAAAACAACCCUCAGACUUUGUCACAAGGACCAAGGUUGCAGUCUGCGGUCCUCAAUGUGCUGGCUUCUUUUCCAAUUCUGGCUACUAUCAUGGGCCCCAAAACAGCAUUUGCCAGUGUCAUCAGGGGCAGAUAACCACGCCAAGAGAUAGAAAAGGCAACUUGCCUCUUGUGUACAUUCUCAAAAGCAAGACUAGCUUCCAGAAGCAUUGCACCAGGCUCUACCUCACAUGUCACUGUCUAGAAUUGUCCAAGCCUAAAGCCUUCCUUUAACAAGAGAAAUAAAUCUAGAUAGUGAUGGCAAACAUUUUAGAGACUGAGUGCCUAAACUGCAACCCAAAACCCACAUAUUUAUCACAAAGUGCCAACACUGUACUGUAAUUAAACCUGAAUGCUAAGGUUUAGUUCAGAAAAAACAACUCAUACAUUAACAUCUUGUGUAUUAAAAAAAAACCACAAGAACAGAGUUUUCAAUGAUUUGAAAGGUAAAACUCUGCAUUUGGUGUGCUUUUGCACAAUUAAUGUAUCCCUGUUAUAUGCAUGCUGAUAAUCUGUCAAAUCUCAGUGGGGGUGACUUGGCUUGUGUACUGACAGACAGGGCUUUGGUGCGCCACAGGUUCUCCACCACUGAGCUGGACCAAUCAUGAUUUCCCUCACCCUGCAUGAGCUAGAGGAAGGUUUCAACCUACUGGUGGACAUGGCCACAGGGCAAAGAUCAACAAAACUGUGAUUCCAACAGUAAGGGAAGAGGAGAGGAGAUAUGUAUUGCGCCCAAUACCCAGGGUGAUAAUCAGUGCUUUCAUUUGCCAUUUCCCUCUCCUAACACCUGAUGUGGUGGCAUGACCAAAACUUUGCUCCCAUAGGCUCUAAGUCCUUAGUGGUCACUUUACUGGGUGGCCACAGGUUCCCACUGUCCAGUAAUGUAAACAGUCAGCAGCCCUCUGCUGCAUGCCUGGAUUCCAGAGAUACUCUUCCCGUUUCCUCUGUGGGACAACCACCAAGUUCCCUGUGGUCAUUAGGAUUGCACACCCAAACCAGUACGAUGUCCCCGUCUAUUGGUUCAGUGGUCUGGAGACCUCGAGAUGACCAGGUGAUAGUUUCAAUUUCCUAUUUAAUAGAAUUGUGGCUGUAUAAUAUGGGGAAGUCCCUUGGGUACUAAGGCUUUUAAAACAUGUCAACUCCCAUUUGUUGGUUGGUUUAUUUCAUUAACUUCAAAUAAUGAUAUUAGAAACUAAGAACGAUGAACAAUAAAUAUGCAAGAGAACUA